UGGGGAAUUUUGGACAAUGGGCGCAAGCCUGAUCUAGCCAUGCCGCGUGAGCGAUGAAGGCCUUAGGGUUGUAAAGCUCUUUCAGCGGGGAAGAUAAUGACAGUACCCGCAGAAGAAGCCCCGGCUAACUUCGUGCCAGCAGCCGCGGUAAUACGAAGGGGGCUAGCGUUGCUCGGAUUUACUGGGCGUAAAGCGCACGUAGGCGGAUCGUUAAGUCGGGGGUGAAAUCCUGGAGCUCAACUCCAGAACUGCCUUCGAUACUGGCGAUCUUGAGUCCGGAAGAGGUGAGUGGAACUCCUAGUGUAGAGGUGGAAUUCGUAGAUAUUAGGAAGAACACCAGUGGCGAAGGCGGCUCACUGGUCCGGUACUGACGCUGAGGUGCGAAAGCGUGGGGAGCAAA
rnacentral:rRNA from 1 species